CGCGCGACACCCCAGCGCCGGCCGAGGAACAACGACCCCCCCCCCGACUUCAAGAGAACCUUUACAAGUUACCCUUAUAAUAGAAGAUUAGAGACACAAAAUGCUGGAGUAACUCAGCGGGAUCGGCAGCAUCUCUGGAGAAAAAUGAAUAGACUUGUAAAUAACUAGUGGAGUGCCCCAAGGAUCAAUUUCCACACCUCAACUAUUGACCAUUGAAAUGACUUGGGAGGACGGGACAUUGAGUGAGCACCAGAGGACCAAACCCUCGACCACUGCUGCACGACUAUCAAGGAUGCCUAUCGCUCUAUCCCUAACCAGAAGCCUUGGAUGAGCCAUGAGAUCCGCAUUCUUCUGAAGACCAGAUCCCGGGCAUUCAGGUCUGGCAAUGCAGAGGUCUACAAGAAGUUCAGAUACGGCCUUGGUAAGGCCAUCAAAAAGGUCAAAAGGAACUCUGCUCUAAGCUGGAGGAUGAGACGGAUGUUCGGCAACUGUGGCGGGGCUUGAAUGCCAUCACCUCCUACAAGGCAAAAUCAGGAGGCAGCUCACACGACAGCGAAGCAUCACUCCCUGACGAGCUCAACGCGUUAUACACAUGCAUUGAUAGGGAAAAUACUGAUGUGCCUUCCCGAGCCCCCAUUCACCGUGAUGGUAUUUCAGUCACAGAGGCUGACGUCAGAAGAUCCUUCAGAGGGAUGAACCCUCGGAAAGCGCCUGGACCUGAUGGUAUACCCAGUCGUGUUCUCAAAACCUGUGCAGACUAACUGGCUGGAGUUUUUGCGGACAUUUUCAACCUCUGAGGUCUAAGAUUCCCACCUGCUUUAGAAGGGCAUCAAUAAUACCGGUCCCCAAGAAGAGCAAGGUGACGUGCCUCAAUGACUAUCGACCAGUGGCACUAACGUCUGUGAUGAUGAAGUGCUUUGAGAGGUUGAUUAUGGCGCAAAUCAACUCCUACCUCGACCUCAACAAGAACCUCGACCCACUGCAGUUUGCUUACCGCCACAACAGGUCAACGGUGGAUAUCCGAUCUCACUGGCUCUCCACUCCGCUCUGGACCACUUGGACAACAAAAAAUCGUACGUCAGGCUGAUCAUAGACUACAGCUCGCCGUUUAAUACAUCAUCCCCUCCAAGAUGGUUACCAAGCUCACAGAUUUGGGUCUCUGCGCAUCCCUCUGCAAUUGGAUUCUCGACUUCCUCAUCCACAGACCACAGUGUGUCCGUAUUGGUGGAAAUAUGUCAUCCUCGAUAACAAUCAACAUGGGAGCACCUCAAGGCUGCGUGCUCAGCCCCCUGCUGUACUCUAUACUCAUGACUGUGUAGCUGGACAUAGUGCGUAUCCAUCAUCAAGUUCGCUGGCGACACCACUGUUAUGGGACAAAUCACAGAUGGUGAUGUGUCAGAAGUGAGAUCGACCGAUUGACCAAAUGGUGCCAGCACAACAACCUGGCUCUCAACACCAGUAAAACCAAGGAACUAAUUGUGGACUUUGGAAGGGGAAGGAUGGGGGCACACAAUCCUGUUUAUAUUAACAGGACGAUAGUGGAAAGGGUCAAAAACUUCAAAUUCCUGGUCCCAACACACUGGUGCAAUUAUAAAGAAGGCACAUCAGAGCCUCUACUUCCUGAGAAGAUUACGGAAAGUUGGUAUGUCUAGGAUUCUCUCGAACUUCUACUGGUGCACAGUAGAGAGCAUGCUGACUGGCUGCAUCCUGGCCUGGUUUGACAAUUUGAACGUCCAGGAGCGGAAAAUACUGCAGAAUGUUGUGACCACUGCCCAGUCCAUCACCGGCUCUGAACUCCCCACCAUCGAAGGGAUCUAUCGCAGUCGUUGCCUCAAAAGGGCUGCCAACAUCAUCAAAGACCCACACCAUCCUGGCCACACACUCAUCUCACCGUUGCCAUCGGGAAGAAGGUACAGGAGCCUGAAAUCUAACAUCCAUGUUCAGGAGCAGCUUCUUCCCCACAGCCAUCAGGAUAUUAAACAAUAUCAAAGAAGCUCUGAACAAUAACAGUCUAUUAUUAUUAUUAUUAUUGCACUAUAUCUGUUUAUUUAUUGUGUAUAUCUGGUCUAUAGACACACUGUACUUUAUCUCCCGUUUUGGAUUAUGUUUACAUAUUCUGUUGUGCUGCAGCAAGAAUUGCAUUGUCCUAUCUGGAACACAUGACAAUAAAACUCUCUUGACACUUGAGGUAGCCAAUUAUUUUUGGUUAUUUAGAACUGGCACUGAAGAGUUGAGACCUGGGGCUUAUUAGCCAUGAUAUUCAAUGGUGAUGCAUGCCACCUUUUCUUUUUUUUUUAAUAUUUAUUUUAUUAGAAGCAAUUGUACAAAGAGAAAGUAAUUGACAUAACAAUUAUACAAUUAUCGUGCAGCUUCAGUUUUAACAUUUUAUAAACUA